rnacentral:rRNA from 1 species
UACGUAGGGUGCGAGCGUUGUCCGGAAUUAUUGGGCGUAAAGAGCUCGUAGGUGGUUUGUCGCGUUGUUCGUGAAAUCUCACGGCUUAACUGUGAGCGUGCAGGCGAUACGGGCAGACUUGAGUACUGCAGGGGAGACUGGAAUUCCUGGUGUAGCGGUGGAAUGCGCAGAUAUCAGGAGGAACACCGGUGGCGAAGGCGGGUCUCUGGGCAGUAACUGACGCUGAGGAGCGAAAGCGUGGGGAGCGAACAGG